rnacentral:tRNA from 1 species
GGGCCUGUAGCUCAGGUGGUUAGAGCGCACGCCUGAUAAGCGUGAGGUCGGUGGUUCAACUCCACCCAGGCCCACCU